rnacentral:lncRNA from 1 species
AGUCUGCUGAGCAGAGCUGAAGCUGUGUGGAUCGAGGCGUGAGCCAGCAGGGACAAGGACAGUCACAGUCCAGCCUCGGGGCUGAAAGCGCAGGUGAAGGCAGGCCCAGCAGCAAGGGAAGUGUAAGGAUUUUUAGGCAGCAUGACCGAUAAACGAGGGACCCUGCGUGGCCGCUGCACACCUGGGCCGCGUCUCCAAGCUGCUGUUACCUUGAUGUUGCUGCUUGUGUUCCAUGUGCAGCUGUCGCCACCCGAGAUUCCUCUCAGAAGGACAUCGAGGCAGCCCCAGCAACACAACUGAAAACACUCAUGAAAGAAGACUUCCAGAACUGCUUCAGAAAGUGUACCAGGAAUCGAACUCACAACCUUGUGCUUGUCAGGCAGGCGCUGUGCCACUGAGCUAAAUUCCCAGUCCCAAGAUUAAUUGAUUUGUCCAGAGUUAUAGGUCUUCAAGAACCACUUUUGAGUCAUAAGGAACACAGAUUCCUUUGGUCCACUCCCUGCUGGAGCAUCAGCGGCAGUCAGUGCUGACAAGCCAUCUACUGAACAGUGCGUUCUGAAAUGCGGCAGCUCUUCUCUAGAGCACUCACCUCUGCUUGCCUCAAAUCACUCUUGAAUUUCAAAAUACGCUCCCGUCUGAGGCUAUUAAGUGCUAAUAAACAUUAAC